UGCAGAAGCAAAAGCAGAUACAGCUCAUGUAGUUAUUGUUAACAAAUAGAGAAGGCCAAACAGCUGAUGAAGCUCAAACUCUCCUCGCACACAUCACAUGCAGAUGGAGCAUGUUCAGAUGUCGUCUUUGUUAGCCGAGUGGCUUCUUCCUUUGUGUGGUCAAGCAUGGAGCAGAUGAGCCUUGAAGAGAGAGCUGAAUGCACCAAAUAAACAGAAGUACAGAUGGGAGCGAAAGAGAUUGUAGCUGAGUGAGAGAGAGCAGGAACCUCCUCUGGGGCUCGGAGCCAGCGAUAGAUUGCAGAUGAAAGGGGAGAAAGAAGGGGGAAGAUGUUAAUGAAGCGGAGGGGAAGAGACAAGAGGUCCCUGGGGACUCGGACGCCUCCUGGGACUUGUUUCGCUGUGAGGCCACGCUGGCCCCCACGUCCACAGCUCCACGUGGAGAAGAUGUGUCAGAGGAUGUUCUGGGUCAGCCAUGGGAAGAGAUCACGUCUGAGCAGAUAACAGCUUUCUGCUAAAUUACCACUGAUGCUACUGAUGUCGGGG
ensembl:lncRNA